rnacentral:rRNA from 1 species
UACAGAGGGUGCGAGCGUUGUUCGGAAUUAUUGGGCGUAAAGGGCGCGUAGGCGGUGCGGUAAGUCACCUGUGAAAUCUCCUGGCUCAACUGGGAGCUUGCAGGCGAAACUGCCGUGCUGGAGUGUGGGAGAGGUGAGUGGAAUUCCCGGUGUAGCGGUGAAAUGCGUAGAUAUCAGGAGGAACACCUGUGGCGAAAGCGGCGCACUGGACCACAACUGACGCUGAGGCGCGAAAGCGUGGGGAGCAAACAGG